CCUACGGGAGGCAGCAGUGAGGAAUAUUGGUCAAUGGACGAGAGUCUGAACCAGCCAAGUAGCGUGAAGGAUGACUGCCCUAUGGGUUGUAAACUUCUUUUAUAUGGGAAUAAAAUGUUGCACGUGUGGGAUUUUGUAUGUACCAUAUGAAUAAGGAUCGGCUAACUCCGUGCCAGCAGCCGCGGUAAUACGGAGGAUCCGAGCGUUAUCCGGAUUUAUUGGGUUUAAAGGGAGCGUAGGUGGAUUGUUAAGUCAGUUGUGAAAGUUUGCGGCUCAACCGUAAAAUUGCAGUUGAAACUGGCAGUCUUGAGUACAGUAGAGGUGGGCGGAAUUCGUGGUGUAGCGGUGAAAUGCUUAGAUAUCACGAAGAACUCCGAUUGCGAAGGCAGUUCACUGGACUGCAACUGACACUGAGGCUCGAAAGUGUGGGUAUCAAACAGGAUUAGAUACCCGUGUAGUC
rnacentral:rRNA from 1 species